rnacentral:siRNA from 1 species
UUAAGCGUGCUUGGGCGAGAGUA